rnacentral:rRNA from 1 species
UACGGAGGGGGCUAGCGUUGCUCGGAAUCACUGGGCGUAAAGGGUGCGUAGGCGGGUCUUUAAGUCAGGGGUGAAAUCCUGGAGCUCAACUCCAGAACUGCCUUUGAUACUGAGGAUCUUGAGUCCGGGAGAGGUGAGUGGAACUGCGAGUGUAGAGGUGAAAUUCGUAGAUAUUCGCAAGAACACCAGUGGCGAAGGCGGCUCACUGGCCCGGUACUGACGCUGAGGCACGAAAGCGUGGGGGAGCAAACAGGGAUUAGAUGACCCGAGAGU